CUACGUGCCAGCAGCCGCGGUAAUACGUAGGUGGCAAGCGUUGUCCGGAAUUAUUGGGCGUAAAGCGCGCGCAGGCGGAUUGGUCAGUCUGUCUUAAAAGUUCGGGGCUUAACCCCGUGAUGGGAUGGAAACUGCCAAUCUAGAGUAUCGGAGAGGAAAGUGGAAUUCCUAGUGUAGCGGUGAAAUGCGUAGAUAUUAGGAAGAACACCAGUGGCGAAGGCGACUUUCUGGACGAAAACUGACGCUGAGGCGCGAAAGCCAGGGGAGCGAACGGGAUUAGAUACCCUGGUAGUCCACGCCGUAAACGAUGGUUACUAGGUGUAGGAGGUAUCGACCCCUUCUGUGCCGGAGUUAACGCAAUAAGUACCCCGCCUGGGGAGUACGACCGCAAGGUUGAAACUCAAAGGAAUUGACGGGGGCCCGCACAAGCGGUGGAGUAUGUGGUUUAAUUCGACGCAACGCGAAGAACCUUACCAGGUCUUGACAU
rnacentral:rRNA from 1 species